GGAGAGGUGGCUGAGCGGCUGAAAGCGGCUCCCUGCUAAGGAGUCGGCCCUAUUGCUGGGCCCCUGGGUUCAAAUCCCAGCCUCUCCGCCA
rnacentral:tRNA from 1 species